UGCGCAGGUGGGCUUGUAAGUCAGUGGUGAAAUACUGCCGCUUAACGGUAGAACUGCCAUUGAUACUGCAAGUCUUGAAUAUGGUUGAGGUAGGCGGAAUGUGUUGUGUAGCGGUGAAAUGCAUAGAUAUGACACAGAACGCCGAUUGCGACGGCAGCUUACUAAGCCAUUAUUGACGCUGAGGCACGAAAGCGUGGGGAGCGAACAGGAUUAGAUACCCUGGUAGUCC
rnacentral:rRNA from 1 species